GAUGAACGCUGGCGGCGUGCCUAAUACAUGCAAGUCGAGCGAACAGACGAGGAGCUUGCUCCUCUGACGUUAGCGGCGGACGGGUGAGUAACACGUGGAUAACCUACCUAUAAGACUGGGAUAACUUCGGGAAACCGGAGCUAAUACCGGAUAAUAUAUUGAACCGCAUGGUUCAAUAGUGAAAGACGGUUUUGCUGUCACUUAUAGAUGGAUCCGCGCCGCAUUAGCUAGUUGGUAAGGUAACGGCUUACCAAGGCAACGAUGCGUAGCCGACCUGAGAGGUUGAUCGGCCAAACUGGAACUGAGCCACGGUCCAGACUCCUACGGGAGGCAGCAGUAGGAAAUCUUCCGCAAUGGGCGAAAGCCUAACGGAGCAACGCCGCGUGAGUGAUGAAGGUCUUCGGAUCGUAAAACUCUGUUAUUAGGAAAGAACAAAUGUGUAAGUAACUAUGCACGUCUUGACGGUACCUAAUAAGAAAGCAACGGCUAACUACGU
rnacentral:rRNA from 1 species